GAUGCUGAAAUUUUAGGUGCUGAGGCCGGCUUGGAAGGAGGGUAUGCUCUGCCCUGGGGACAGGUGGGUACCAGCAGUGAAGAUGGUCCUCCAGGUCUAAGAGCCACUUUGAUAGCAAGAAAGACUUUGGACAGUGGAGGACUACGGAGGAGACUUAGGUUCUGAGCACACUGCCAUCGGUCAUCCCUAACCUAUAAAACGAAUGCGGCCUCAUGCUGGCUUAUCCCCCUACCUGGAGUGAGGCAGCACUGGGGACUCAUUUGCCCAGGACUGUGACCCAAUGAAGCCCAAGUAGCCUUGUGAAACAAUGAAUCAUUUCUGGGAGAAGACACCUGGAUAAAAUAAGAGAUGAAACAACAAAUAAGAAAAUGAAACAUUUUCUUCUGAGAAAAAUAGAACUAGGCACCUUCGAAUCCCACAUAGAAAUACCGUUGGCUCCCCUCAUCUAACUUGUUGAAGAAAUGUGGUCACCACCAUGGGAACCUGGACUCAUACUCUGUUU